GUGGGGAAUAUUCCGCAAUGGACGAAAGUCUGACGGAGCAACGCCGCGUGAAGGAAGAAGGUUUUCGGAUCGUAAACUUCUAUCCUUGGUGAAGAUAAUGACGGUAGCCAAGAAGGAAGCCCCGGCUAACUACGUGCCAGCAGCCGCGGUAAUACGUAGGGGGCAAGCGUUGUCCGGAAUGAUUGGGCGUAAAGGGCGCAUAGGCGGCCCGGUAAGUCUGAAGUGAAAGUCCUGCUUUUAAGGUGGGAAUUGCUUUGGGUGCUGUCGGGGUUGAGUGCAGGGGGGGGAAGCGGAAUGCCCGGUGUAGCGGUGAAAUGCGUAGAGAUCGGGAGGAACACCAGUGGCGAAGGCGGCUUACUGGACUGUAACUGACGCUGAGGCGCGAAAGUGUGGGGAGCAAACAGGAUUAGAAACCCGAGUAGUCC
rnacentral:rRNA from 1 species